AUAUAUAUAGUAUAAAAAAAAUACAUUUAACUUCCAAUUAAAAAAUUUAAUUAAUAAUAAUAUAUAUA
rnacentral:tRNA from 1 species